AAUAUUUGCUACUUCGGAGGUCCUUUCGGGCUCGAUGAGACAAAACAUUCACCUUAGUUGCUGA